rnacentral:rRNA from 1 species
UACGUAGGGGGCAAGCGUUGUCCGGAUUUAUUGGGCGUAAAGAGCGUGUAGGCGGCCAUACAGGUCCGUUGUGAAAACUCGAGGCUUAACCUCGAGCUGUCGGCGGAAACCAUCUGGCUAGAGUCCGGAAGAGGAGAAUGGAAUUCCCGGUGUAGCGGUGAAAUGCGCAGAUAUCGGGAAGAACACCCGUGGCGAAGGCGGUUCUCUGGGACGGUACUGACGCUGAGACGCGAAAGCGUGGGGAGCGAACAGG